GACUUUCUGUUCUGACAGUGUUACUUACUCACCCUCCCCAACACUCCCAUUACAGUACUGCAGGAACAUCCCAGUUCAACACCUGGGAGGAUUAAAGUGGAAGCCUGUUCCUGGAUGAAAGCUGCAGUGGAAGUUCCCUCUCAUGGAGCGAAGGAACUCAAGGAGGGAAAGAGGAGAGGGGAAGAGGAAAGACGGCGCAGAGGGAAGGACUGAGUGGUACUUAUUGGAUGAAGACUUCAAAGCAGCACAGCAGCCAGACGGACUGAGGCUCCGGGGAAAUUAUUUACCUGACAAGCACACAGCUUUCCAAACAUUACACAACAUUACUGACCAAACAUUUAGAAAACAGAACCCUCUCUCCACAGAUUUAGUUAGGUGAAUCACAUCCGGUGAGUAAGCAGAUUAUUCAACAGAGGGACGAGAUGUCUCUGCUGUCUCUCUCGUCCCCCGUCACUCCAACUUUUCAAAAUCACAGAUGAUCAACACACUGGAACUGCUCACUGUGACGC
ensembl:lncRNA